rnacentral:rRNA from 1 species
CGCAGCCGCGGUAAUUCCAGCUCCAAUAGCGUAUAUUAAAGUUGUUGCAGUUAAAAAGCUCGUAGUUGAAUUUCGGGAUCAGUACGCCGGUCGUGCCUUCGGUAUGCACUGGUGUCACUGGUUUCCUCCCUUCUGAAGAACCAUCAUGCCAUUAAGUUGGUGUGGCGGGAAAUCAGGACUGUUACUUUGAAAAAUUAGAGUGUUUAAAGCAGGCUCGCGCUUGAAUACAUUAGCAUGGAAUAAUGAAAUAGGACGUUUGACCCUAUUUUGUUGGUUUCUAGGAUCGACGUAAUGAUUAAUAGGGAUAGGUUGGGGGCAUUAGUAUU